rnacentral:rRNA from 1 species
CCUACGGGGGGCAGCAGUAAGGAAUAUUGGUCAAUGGACGGAAGUCUGAACCAGCCAUCCCGCGUGCAGGAAGAAGGUCCUAUGGAUUGUAAACUGCUUUUAGCAGAGACGAAACGCCUUCAUUUAUGGGGGUUUGACGGUAUCUGCGGAAUAAGCACCGGCUAACUCCGUGCCAGCAGCCGCGGUAAUACGGAGGGUGCAAGCGUCACUCGGAAUCACUGGGGCGUAGGGGUGGGGAGAAGGGGGUGGUGAAAGCCUGUAGCUUAACUACAGAAUUGCCAUUGAUACUGAUUUUCUUGAAUUGGGUUGAGGUUAGCGGAAUGUGACAUGUAACGGUUAAAUGUUUAGAUAUGUCAUGGAACACCGAUUGCGAAGGCAGCUAGCUGGGCCUUGAUUGACGCUGAGGCACGAAAGCGUGGGUAGCGAACAGGAUUAGAUACCCGAGUAGUC